rnacentral:rRNA from 1 species
UGGGGAAUAUUGCACAAUGGGCGCAAGCCUGAUGCAGCGACGCCGCGUGAGGGAUGACGGCCUUCGGGUUGUAAACCUCUGUUAGCAUCGAAGAAGCGAAAGUGACGGUAGGUGCAGAGAAAGCGCCGGCUAACUACGUGCCAGCAGCCGCGGUAAUACGUAGGGCGCGAGCGUUGUCCGGAAUUAUUGGGCGUAAAGAGCUUGUAGGCGGUUGGUCGCGUCUGCUGUGAAAGGCCGGGGCUUAACUCCGGUUUUGCAGUGGGUACGGGCUAACUAGAGUGCAGUUGGGGAGACUGGAAUUCCUGGUGUAGCGGUGGAAUGCACAGAUAUCAGGAGGAACACCGAUGGCGAAGGCAGGUCUCUGGGCUGUAACUGACGCUGAGAAGCGGAAGCAUGGGGAGCGAACAGGAUUAGAUACCCUGGUAGUCCAUGCCGUAAACGUUGGGCACUAGGUGUGGGGGACAUUCCACGUUUUCCGCGCCGUAGCUAACGCAUUAAGUGCCCCGCCUGGGGAGUACGGCCGCAAGGCUA